CCCAGAUGCAGAUACUCUGUUUCAGCAGCUGACCCUGAACUCCUCGGUAACUCUAUUCCAGGUGUCUGAGGACAAAAUUAAAGAGAGGGGUGAAUUGCUUCCUCCACACCUUAAGCCAGUCCCAGGGACAAUGAAAAUCCACCAACUGAUGUCCACCACUCCUGGGGUAGUUCACACGAGGGAAGUGUCAUGUUUCUGUCAGAAAAAUUGUGAGUGCUUCUCUCCAUCAC